rnacentral:rRNA from 1 species
AGUGAACGCUGGCGGUAGGCCUAACACAUGCAAGUCGAACGGCAGCACAGGAGAGCUUGCUCUCUGGGUGGCGAGUGGCGGACGGGUGAGGAAUACAUCGGAAUCUACUCUGUCGUGAGGGAUAACGUAGGGAAACUUACGCUAAUACCGCAUACGACCUACGGGUGAAAGCAGGGGAUCUUCGGACCUUGCGCGAUUGAAUGAGCCGAUGUCGGAUUAGCUAGUUGGCGGGGUAAAGGCCCACCAAGGCGACGAUCCGUAGCUGGUCCGAGAGGAUGAUCAGCCACACUGGAACUGAGACACGGUCCAGACUCCUACGGGAGGCAGCAGUGGGGAAUAUUGGACAAUGGGCGCAAGCCUGAUCCAGCCAUACCGCGUGGGUGAAGAAGGCCUUCGGGUUGUAAAGCCCUUUUGUUGGGAAAGAAAUCCAGCUGGCUGAUACCCGGUUGGGAUGACGGUACCCAAAGAAUAAGCACCGGCUAACUUCGUGCCAGCAGCCGCGGUAA